rnacentral:rRNA from 1 species
CCUACGGGAGGCAGCAGUGAGGAAUAUUGGUCAAUGGACGAGAGUCUGAACCAGCCAAGUAGCGUGAAGGAUGACUGCCCUAUGGGUUGUAAACUUCUUUUUUUUUGGGAUUAAAAUGUUCCCCGUUUGGGUUUUUGUUUGUACCUAAUGAUUAAGGACCGGCUAACUCCGUCCCAGCAGCCGCGGUAAUACGGAGGAUCCGAGCGUAAGCCGGAUUUAUUGGGUUUAAAGGGAGCGUAGGUGGAUUGUUAAGUCAGUUGUGAAAGUUUGCGGCUCAACCGUAAAAUUGCAGUUGAAACUGGCAGUCUUGAGUACAGUAGAGGUGGGCGGAAUUCGUGGUGUAGCGGUGAAAUGCUUAGAUAUCACGAAGAACUCCGAUUGCGAAGGCAGUUCACUGGACUGCAACUGACACUGAGGCUCGAAAGUGUGGGUAUCAAACAGGAUUAGAUACCCCUGUAGUC